AGCCUUUCGAAAGGAAGAUUAAUACCCCAUAAUAUGUUGAAUGGCAUCAUUCGACAUUGAAAACUCCGGUGGAUAGAGAUGGGCACGCGCAAGAUUAGAUAGUUGGUGAGGUAACGGCUCACCAAGUCUGCGAUCUUUAGGGGGCCUGAGAGGGUGAUCCCCCACACUGGUACUGAGACACGGACCAGACUCCUACGGGAGGCAGCAGUGAGGAAUAUUGGACAAUGGGUGAGAGCCUGAUCCAGCCAUCCCGCGUGAAGGACGACGGCCCUAUGGGUUGUAAACUUCUUUUGUAUAGGGAUAAACCUACUCUCGUGAGAGUAGCUGAAGGUACUAUACGAAUAAGCACCGGCUAACUCCGUGCCAGCAGCCGCGGUAAUACGGAGGGUGCAAGCGUUAUCCGGAUUUAUUGGGUUUAAAGGGUCCGUAGGCGGAUUUGUAAGUCAGUGGUGAAAUCUCACAGCUUAACUGUGAAACUGCCAUUGAUACUGCAAGUCUUGAGUGUUGUUGAAGUAGCUGGAAUAAGUAGUGUAGCGGUGAAAUGCAUAGAUAUUACUUAGAACACCAAUUGCGAAGGCAGGUUACUAAGCAACAACUGACGCUGAUGGACGAAAGCGUGGGGAGCGAACAGGAUUAGAUACCCUGGUAGUCCACGCCGUAAACGAUGCUAACUCGUUUUUGGGACGUAAGUUUCAGAGACUAAGCGAAAGUGAUAAGUUAGCCACCUGGGGAGUACGAACGCAAGUUUGAAACUCAAAGGAAUUGACGGGGGCCCGCACAAGCGGUGGAUUAUGUGGUUUAAUUCGAUGAUACGCGAGGAACCUUACCAAGGCUUAAAUGGGAAAUGACAGGUUUAGAAAUAGACUUUUCUUCGGACAUUUUCAAGGUGCUGCAUGGUGUCGUCAGCUCGUGCCGUGAGGUGUUAGGUUAAGUCCUGCAACGAGCGCAACCCCUGUCACUAGUUGCCAUCAUUAAGUUGGGGACUCUAGUGAGACUGCCUACGCAAGUAGAGAGGAAGGUGGGGAUGACGUCAAAUCAUCACGGCCCUUACGCCCUGGGCCACACACGUAAUACAAUGGCCGGUACAGAGGGCAGCUACAUAGCGAUGUGAUGCA
rnacentral:rRNA from 1 species